rnacentral:tRNA from 2 species
CGAGGUGUAGCGCAGUCCGGUAGCGCGCACGGUUAGGGACCGUGAGGUCGCAAGUUCAAGUCUUGUCACCUCGACCA